rnacentral:misc_RNA from 1 species
UUCUGCAUACACUACAGUGUGGCCUGUGAAACACUGUUUGUCGAACGACGCUUGUACAUUAUCUCUGGUGUGCAAUCCUCGUUCCAGAUAAGAAUUCUAUUGCAACAUGUGCUUUGGAUCAAAUCCACAUUGCGCACACGAAUGUCAUGAUGACACACAUAAUCGUUGUCACUGUGAAAUGCAUUUAGCGACAUAAAAUGCUUUUACAGGGCAUGUCCGACAACGAUGUGCAUGCGGCGCAUCCAUGUCAUUUGUAA